AGGGGUAAGGAGGCUCUUAGAGAAGGACUUGGGAUUGCAGAAGUAUGCACUGGAUGUGCACAAGAGAUUUGUUAAGCAAUGUCUGGUCGAGUGCUUAGAAGGUGCUGUUAAUGACAAUGUUUCCAAGGAUUCUGGGGAAACUGAGGAGAAACACGCCUGUUCAACAAAAAGAGAAGCAAUAGAAUCACCUGAAGGGCAUGAAUCUAAAAAUGACAGAAAAGAACCUUAUUCUGAAGAUGAGCAGAAAAUGGAAGACUCUCCUGUGAUGGGCCUUUUGACAGGGAAAAAACCACCCAAAUCAGAAACCAAGGAAACUCUAAUUGAUAAGAAUAAAGAAGUUCCAAGCGAAAGCAGCAUAAAGAAAGCCUUGUUGAAAAGAGCUUCCUAUAUCAAAGUUAAUUCUGAAAAAGUUACAAUGGCUGGACUUCGUCGACUUUUAGAGGAAGAUUUAAGACUUGAAAAACAUGCACUUGAUCCCUACAAGACACUUAUAAGCAAGCAGUUAGAUGAGGUAUUACAAUCUUCUGAAGUUCCUGAACCUAAGAAGAAAAAUAUAAAAACUAAAUCUCAAGGCAAAGCAUCUAAAAAGAUGAGCAGUGAAGGUAGUUCAGAUUCUUCGGAUCGUGAAAGUGAUGAGGAGGAUGAAGAAGUAAACCCAAAGAAGAAAAUUGGUCCAAAGCAAAAGGUGCUAAAUUCUGAGGGGACUAAAAAACGGAAGAGGCUUGAAAAGGAAUCCGAAGUAUCUGGCAAGAAGCAGAUAAAGCCUGUGGAAACAGUAGCAGAGGACAAUAGUGAUGCAGACGACAGUGGAAAUGCCUCUGAAGAUGGCCAUUCUCAAUCAUCAGCUGAAAAACCAGUCAAGAAAAGAGAAGCUUCAACUCCAGCAUAUGGGAAACAUGUUGAGCAUCUAAAAUCUGUAAUAAAAUCCUGUGGGAUGAGUGUGCCUCCUGUAGUUUACAAGCAAUUUACAAAAAGGUUAAGCAGGUUCCUGAGAAUAAACGUGAGGCCCAGCUAAUAAAGGAGUUGGAGGAGAUACUUUCUAAAGAAGGAUUGUCAUCAAACCCUUCUGAAAAAGAAAUUAAGGAAGUCAGAAAGAGAAAGGCAAGAGCAAAAGAACUUGAGGGCAUUGACACAAGUAAUAUUGUAUCAAGUUCACGUAGAAGGUCCACAACGAGUUAUGUGCCUCCUCCAAAGCCCAAAAUACCAGCUGAAAGUGAAAGUGAUAGUGAUGAUGCUGAUGAUACUGAUGAGGAUGACGAUGACGAUAAUGAGGAAGAAGAAAAUGAUGAAGAGGAUGAAGGAGAUAAUGAUGGGGAUGAUGAUAGCCAGAGUGAUGAGGAGCAUGGGGAGGACAGCGAUUGAAUCCUGGAUGAGCUGACCCGCAAGUUGAGUUAUAAUAGAUACCUUAGCAGUUAAAGAGUUUAUGGAUGUAUCAUCUGUUAUAAACAUGUUUAGUUCUAUUUUUUUCUACUGUCUUGGACUCUUGGUUGUAGGACCAUAUCUCUUUUAGGGAGAAUCCGUUUGUAGCGUAGGAUGUCACUUGUAGCUGAUUUGGCGACUCAUUGAAGGGUUUCUUCCCCUGACAAAAAAGGGUAGCUUCAAAUAUAAACCAAUAGUUGUGUAUCUUGAUGGAUGUGAUGUUUUUGGUUUCAGUAAACCAUCCAGGUCUUUAUGAGUUUUCAGAGCAACAUUCCUCUGGUUAUACAUAGGGCCAAUCCAUCUUUAUUCAUGAAAAAAUAGUUCCAGUUCAGCUCAGAGCUGAAUAAUUAAGUUCCAUAAGUGUAUCUUGUGUCAAACAAUAAUAUAUCGCAAUUACAGUAUCUUUUUGGAUGACUGCUCCAUUUCAACGAAUCUAAGAAUAUAAGCCUAAUGUUCAUAGCAUUAUGAGGUCAGGCUCCCUCUCUGAAAGAACGCGCCUCACUUCACUUCCAAGAUCCAUUACAUGUUUGUCCUUACAUCCAAUUUGAAGAAGGGCUUUUUCAAGUUGGAAAAGAUAGUCUUUAUUGGGUCCUGAAGGGCCUUCAGCAUGUACAAUUUGUUUGGCUAUCUCUUCAAGAGGUGCAGGCCCCAAGUAAUUUUGGUUAUGCUUCUUGUCUGGUGAUCCUAUAUAUACCAUUACUCCUGAAACAGCUGGAGUUGUAGCUGCGGCCUCAGUGAACAAAUCAAGAUAAGCCUUCUGAUCAUACUGCUUCUCCCUCACUUCCAAAUAAUUUAUUGCAGUUUCUUCAUCUUCCUUAUUGGAGAUCUUGUAAGCAACUCCCCAACAGACUUCCCCAUCCGCAGGUUCUAAAGUGACAGUUCUUCCAGGAUACUCUGGAGUCCCCCUAUGGUCAGUGCUGCCUUGGUAGAAGACACGGCGAUAACCUUUGAUGAAACCAACAAGGCGAUCAUCGUAGUUAAAGCCUGCUUUCCAUAUUAGAGAACCGUACCCAAAUACCCACAUCUCCCUCCAGAGGAUGAAGCUAUUAGGAAGAAGAGCAGAGACAGGGAGUAGCACGGCACCCCAAUGACCAAGAAA
rnacentral:misc_RNA from 1 species